rnacentral:rRNA from 1 species
UACAGAGGGGGGCAAGCGUUGUUCGGAAUUACUGGGCGUAAAGGGCGCGUAGGCGGCCUGUUAAGUCGAACGUGAAAUCCCCGGGCUCAACCCGGGAACUGCGUCCGAUACUGGCAGGCUUGAAUUCGGGAGAGGGAUGUGGAAUUCCAGGUGUAGCGGUGAAAUGCGUAGAUAUCAGGAGGAACACCGGUGGCGAAGGCGGGUCUCGUGGGCAGUGAACUGACGCUGGAGGAGCGAAAGCGUGGGGAGCGAAUGGG